rnacentral:rRNA from 1 species
GACGAACGCUGGCGGCGCGCUUAACACAUGCAAGUCGAACGGAAAGGCCUGCUUUCCCUUGUGGAUUGCGGGUACUCGAGUGGCGAACGGGUGAGUAACACGUGAGUGAUCUGCCCCCAACUUGGGUAUAAGCCUGGGAAACUGGGUCUAAUUCCCGAUAGGACUGCAGGGUGGUGCCUGUGGUGGAAAACGAUUUUCUAGUGGUUGGGGAUGAGCGCGCGGCCUAUCAGCUGGUUGGUGGGGUAAUGGCCUACCAAGGCGGCGACGGGUAGCCGGCCUGAGAGGGUGGACGGCGACAUUGGGACUGAGUUACGGCCCAGACGCCUACGGGAGGCAGCAGUGGGGAAUAUUGCACAAUGGGCGGAAGCCUGAUGCAGCGACGCCGCGUGGGGGAUGACGGCCUUCGGGUUGUAAACUCCUUUCGACCGCGAGGAAGCCACCUGGUUGGAAGGGUGGUGACGGUAGUGGUAGAAGAAGCGCCGGCUAACUACGUG